rnacentral:lncRNA from 1 species
GAAGUUGAUCACGGUCAUAUAGACUCGAUAUGGAUAUUGGUCCGUAUACCUUUGUUUUCUCGGCAAAGGAUCGACUGUACUCGAGUUUCUUGGCAGAUACGUCUUAUGAGGCUCACAGUAUUACUCGCUUGAAAAGAACGAACGAAAUGUGCGGAGCACGUAUAUGGUCGGGGUUUUGGCAUGUCUGUAUACUUCCAUCCACCCAGAUCGUGUCUACUCCUCCUCUCUUGGUCACUUGGCGGAAUCAGUCACUAACAACCUCGGGCUUGUCCAAAGCUUAGAAUCAAGAACACCAUAAAAUUCGGCCAGCCCCAACCACUCGGCCGCUCGGCAACCCCGCGCUCUCAGUGGGUGAGUUUCUUCAGGCCAACUGCAUGUCUUACUCAUCCUAAGAUGUUUAUUCUGUGAUCAUCUGCUUCUCUGGCAGUCACUCUUGCUACCUUGUGAUGUUAUGGAUUAGUACAUACAGUUCCCGAUUCGGAAGCUUUGACCGAGCAUCUCUGCACAUAAAUUGCAGUUCUUCAUUUUCAUGGCGGCCAAGUAUCUCGUACGGGAUUAGUCUCUGUUAUAGCUUUCAAUUUAUAAUCGAUCCUGAAGA